CCGCAGGCAACGGCCCGAAGGGCGAAGCGCGCAGCGCUGAGUAAUCUCUCCCCCACCACCA
rnacentral:sRNA from 1 species